GUGACAGGACAGGCUCCUCAUCAACUGAUCAGACCCGGGAAUCUAGUGCUGGGCUCAGCCUGUGUGUACUGACCAUAGAGAUGAGGACAGGGAGAGGACAGAGAGGACUGUGGAGCUACAUCCUGCACUGCUCUCUCUAUGAUCGGGCAAAGCAGCUUAGGAGCCUCUGCCCGAUGAUAACUCAGCUUCAGUGUCAGGAAAAACAGCAUCUCAUGACAAAGAUUGGUUUAACAGGUCUUGAGCUCAGAAAGUCACAGAAACAUUUGAUGGGCAAGUGAAAGACUUCAGUGUCUCCGGACUGCCAAACAGACACCUCCCUUUGUAUAAUUCCCAUAGAAUGAGGUGUGAGGGGGAGAAGUAGAGAUCAAGAGAAAGACGAAGAAGCAAAAUAAAGGCAAG